AUGGGAGAAAUAAUUGAACCAAAGGCCAAGGGGGGACUUGGCUUCCGUGACUUCCGCAUCUUCAACCAGGCCUUCCUUGCUCGUCAAGCCUGUCGGCUACUCACCAGACCGGAUUCCUUAUGCUCUCAAGUAUUGAAAGCAAAAUAUUAUCCUAACGGGUCCCUUUAGGAUACGGUUUUUUCAGGUAAUGCAUCCCUAACAUGGCACACAAUCCAGCAUGGCCUCGAGUUGCUUAAGCAGGGGCUUGUGUGGAAAGUGGGCAACGGUGCGAGUAUCCGCAUAUGGCGGGACCCUUGGAUCCCGCGGCCCAUGUCCUAUAGGCCAAUCACGGCACGCGGCACAUGCCGGCUCCAACGAGUGUCAGAACUCCUUGACGACAAUGGUUGAUGGCGGGUAGGUCUCCUUCAACAAUUCUUCACCAUCCCUGAUGUGGAAUGCAUCUUGUCGAUCAAAACCAGCCCGCAAGGACUGGAUGACGUCCUAGCUUGGGCCCCUGACACCCGCGGCAUCUUCACUGUACGCAGCGCGUACAACCUUGCCCUGGAAGGACAAACCAGCACCACCGUGUGCUCCACGAGUAGGGCACCGGACGACACUCGUGCCGUCUGAAAGGCAGUGUGAGGGUGCCCUGCUCCCCCGAAGGUACAGGUGUUUGCAUGGCGUGUUGCAACGAACUCGCAAGCCACUCUUGAAAAUAAGCUUAAGCGAAAGCUCGAGGUCUCUAAUAUUUGUGUUUUAUGUGGAAUGGAGCCGCCGGAACGCUGGAUAAAACCACUAUUGGGGUGGGCGAAGCUAAAUGUUGAUGGCUCAUGGAAGGAACAGGAAGGUACAGGAGGCGCAGGAACGAUUUUGCGCGACCAUCAUGGUGCCAUGAUUUUUGCGUCGUGCAGGUUCAUUCAGAGAUGUUCGAGUGCUCUCGAGGCCGCGGUAGCGGCAUGCAUGGAGGGGGUGGCCCUGGCUCUUGAAUGGAGCACUGAAAGUCUUAUCGUCGAGACGGACUGCACGAUGGCGGCGCGCAUGAUCAGCGACCCUACGACCAAUAGGUCACUUGUAGGGGCUAUGGUGGGAGAAACAAGAGAGCUACUUGCUGGUCGUCAGCAUGAAAUACGAGUCAUCCGGAGAGAGCAGAAUAAGGCUAGUAAUGCACUUGCUCAAAUGGGCCGCUCGUUGCCCAAAACUGCCGUGUGGCUUCGGUGCGCUCCUGAAGAUGUUGACGUUUUGUGUCAACAAGACUUGAAUGACCUUGCUUAA
rnacentral:rRNA from 1 species